UAACAAUGAUUCCCCCAGUAACGGCGAGUGAACAGGGAAAAGCUCAAAGUUGGAACCUCCUGGCCCUAGGCUAGGCGCAUUGUAAACUAAAGCUGUAAAGUAGUUCGGUUGGCCUGGUAAAAAAGUUCCCUGGAAUGGGGCGACAUGGAGGGUGAAAUCCCCGUCUUUGGCCAGAGUUCAGCCGUGCGUUUGCUUUGCUGCGAAGAGUCAGGUUGUUUGGGAAUGCAGCCUAAAAUGGGAGGUAGACUUCUCCUAAAGCUAAAUAUUGACGAAAGACCGAUAGCGAACAAGUACCGUGAGGGAAAGAUGAAAAGCACUUUGAAAAGAGGGUCAAAAAGUACGUGAAAUUGCUGAAAGGGAACCGUAUGAAAUCAGCCUGAUGUGUGGGUAAUCAGCCUGGGCUUUGGCCUGGGUGCACUUGCCCAUGUAUUAGCCUGCGACAGUUUGACCUGGGGGAAAAAAGAUGGGGGAAUGUGGCCUCGGCUUCGGUCGAGGUGUUAUAGCCCCUGUCAAAAUACCUUGGGUUGGACUGAGGACUGCAGCGAGCCGUAAGGCAUGGGUCUCGGGCGCUCUGUCUCGGCGAAAAGUGAAUCUCUGCUUCGGGUGGUGCGCUUUUCUUCAGGGCAGACUCGCCUGUUUCUUCUUUCUCUCGCUUAGGUCGUAGGCAUAAUGAUUUUAUAUGACCCGUCUUGAAACACGG
rnacentral:rRNA from 1 species